GCAAGUCGAACGGUAGGAAGUGCUUGCACUUCUGAGAGUGGCGAACGGGUGAGUAACACGUAGAUGAUCUACCAUUUAGUUGGGGAUAGCCCAUGGAAACAUGGAGUAAUACCGAAUAAUCUCUUUUAGCUUUGGCUGAUUGAGGAAAGGAGCUUUUGCUUCGCUGAAUGAUGAGUCUGCGCACUAUUAGCUAGUUGGUGGGGUAAGAGCCUACCAAGGCGACGAUAGAUAGGGGCCCUGAGAGGGGGAUC
rnacentral:rRNA from 1 species